rnacentral:rRNA from 1 species
UACGGAGGGUGCAAGCGUUAAUCGGAAUUACUGGGCGUAAAGGGCGCGUAGGUGGUUCGAUAAGUCAGAUGUGAAAUCCCUGGGCUUAACCUGGGAAUUGCAUUUGAUACUGCCGAACUAGAGUGUGAUAGAGGUAAGCGGAAUUCCCGGUGUAGCGGUGAAAUGCGUAGAUAUCGGGAAGAACAUCAGUGGCGAAGGCGGCUUACUGGAUCAACACUGACACUGAGGCGCGAAAGCGUGGGUAGCAAACAGG